GGCGCUGUGAUGUAAAUGGUAACAUAUUCGACUUCUAAUCGAAUUUUCCGCGUUCGAGUCGCGGCAGCGUCA
rnacentral:tRNA from 1 species